AACCAACAGAUGCUGCCUUGAGAUCAAUCGGGUGCUCGUCUCGUGUCCAGGCAGUUGUGAGCAAGCAACACAUGGCACCUGGCAUGGAAAGAAUUAUUAUGCAGUCAUCAGAUACUUUCAUGGAGCUUACAUUCACAAGUGGAAGACAGGCCAUCAAUAGGUAAACAAAUAAUAAAAUUUAAAAGAGGAAUAAAGGCCACAUGAACUAGAAGAGGAGAACAGCCUAUGCCUUGAUUGAAGAUGGAACGGGGGCAUUGUUCCAGAGAGGAUGAGCAGAGGAGCUUCUGUGAGGAGGUGACAUUUGAGAACCCUGGUAUUUAGCUGGCUCUACUGCUAUCUGAAAUAAAGACUAUUUCCCAGCCUUCCUGGCAGCCAGGCCUGGCCAUAUGACUCUGUUUUGGAUAACAAGAUGUAAGUGGACAUUUUGUGAAGAAACGAGAAAGCCUCCUUAAAGGGAAUUGAGUCCACUGGAAAGUGAACACUUUUGUCUUCCACUUUUCUCCUAUCGCAGUCUGGAAUGUGUAUGAAAUGGCUGGAUGUCCAGUAGCCAACUUGAAAUAAUGACAUGCCCUGAGGAUGGAAGCCAAGAUCUGGGAUAAUAAAACAGAUAAAGGGAAGUUCCCUGGGUCUCUGAUGGUGAUUAAGCCACCAUGCAAGUCCUAGUUUGCUUUCCUUCAAGCUUAUACAUCAAAUAUAUUUCCUUAUAUAUUGAAUAAGUAUUCUUGUAUAAUGAAUUUUCAUAAGCAUUGAAAAAAAUUACAAACUUUUAUUUUGUUUAAGCACUAUUAUUUGGGCUUUUCCUGAUAACAUGCAACCUCAUGUGAAACUAAUCCUAAGGGCCAAAACUAGAGACAUUGAUUUGAGAGUCCAUAUCAUAGAAAUGGUAUUUAAAACAGUGGGAUUGGUGAGAUUACCAAGUAGAGGUUGUAGAGAGAAGGCCUGAAAUCAGUCAACAUUUCCAAGUCAGACAUAGAAGGCGGGACCAAAAAAAGAGCUACAAGGAAGAGUGAAAUAAGUGGAAAACCAGGAGAGUGUGAUGUCAAUAAAGGCCAAGAGUCUAAAUUAUUUCUGGAAGGAAGGAGACUGAGCUAUAUCAAACACUACUGAGAAGUGAAGAUAAGGACAGAGAAUCGACCAUUAGAUGUAGCAAACUAGGAGCCACCGAUGAUCUUGGUGAGAGUCCUUUCAGUAGAGCGAGGACAGCCCUACUGAAGCAAAUUGAAGAGUACGGGAGGGGAGAAGGUAGAGGAGGCAAAUCUAGAUGUCUCUUUUAAGAUGUUUUGCUAUAAAGAGGGUUGGGGAGGAGGCAAUGGGUUCAAGGAAAAGUGUAAGAUGUGCGAUGUAAGGCAGGUCUGCAGACUGAUAGGAGCGAUCCACUAAAGGGAAGAAUGGAUAAUGUGGGCGAAGGUGAAGAAUUGUGGAAGUCAAGUCCUGGAGAAGGAAGACGAGAUGGAAUCCAGACCACACCAGGGAGGUUGACAGACAUCGACCCACGGGAGAACAGUUCCAGGAAAAUGGAGGAGCGAAAUCUGAUUGUGUGAGGUUCAGGAAGGACUGUGGAGCUAAACACACACACACAUAAAAUUAAACACAUAUAUAAAUGGUUGCCUCUGGGUAAUUUGGGCUGAUUUUUUUUUUCUUUCUGUGCUUCUUUAUGCAUUUCUGUGACUUGCAAAUUUUCUAGGAGUACUCACUCCUGUCAUAAUUAGAAAAAACCUGAAAAACAUGAAAGAAAAGUAAAAUCAACAAGUCUGUUCAUUUCUAUCUGUCUGGGACUAAGCUUGCCCCCAGGGAUAGAGGAAGUGCAGCCAAGGCAGUUAGACCCAGAAGUGACCCUGCAGGAGGGCCUUACGCGUGAUGAAAUAUUCCUCCUUCUUUUUAAAUCUCGAGUCCCCUCUUUGUUGAGAUCUACUAACCACAAGCAUUCUGGUAGGCAACACGCAAUGGUACAGUCACUGUUCUAUACGGUUCUAUAUUGUUCUAUAUGGGGCCAGGCUCAGGAGGUAGGCAUGGGACAUCACAAGCAGGAGAGCCUUGGAAGUCUAGGUAGAUAUGCAGUUAGCACUAGACAUGCCAACCUGCAAGCAGCUGGCCAGCUCCAGUUCAAAAGUGGAACUGGUAGGGUCAGAGGUGGGUUCAGGAAGACCAAGCUAAGUCCCAGUAGGGCCCAUCCCGCUGCUCCAUCUCUCAGAGGCUUCCCAGUAAGGGAGCCCCAUGCUGGUUAUUGCCAAGUGAAGUUUCAUGUACAUUAACAGAGAUGCACUCCGAGGACUGAAGGAAGAGAGCUCUCAUCAUGCAGCUUGGAACAUGCCCCCAUUACCAGACCAUUCAUCUGUCAUGCAUUAUGCAUUACGAUAUUUAUAAUCCCUAAUUAUACUGGAAUUAAAAAAAAGAUAUUUAUAAUCCCACAAUUACCUUAUGAGCAGCACAAUUAUAUCGCAUUAUAUUAGUGUUUGUUUAAAAAGCACUGGGUUUUUAAAUGGAGAUAUUUAAAAUAAACCACAUUUAAAA